rnacentral:rRNA from 1 species
CCUACGGUGGGCAGCAGUAGGGAAUUUUCGGCAAUGGGGGGAACCCUGACCGAGCAACGCCGCGUGAACGAAGAAGUUAUUCGUAAUGUAAAGUUCUUUUAACAGGGAAGAAAGAGAAAUUUGACGGUACCUGAAGAAUAAGCUCCGGCUAACUACGUGCCAGCAGCCGCGGUAAUACGUAGGGAGCGAGCGUUAUCCGGAAUUAUUGGGCGUAAAGGGUGCGUAGAUGGCAUAGUAAGUCUUUUGUAAAAAUGCUGGGCUCAACCCAGUAGGGCAAAAGAUACUGCAAAGCUAGAGUAUGACAGAGGCAAGUGGAACUACAUGUGUAGCGGUAAAAUGCGUAAAUAUAUGUAAGAACACCAGUGGCGAAGGCAGCUUACCAAUCUAUAUCUGACGUUGAGGCACGAAAGCGUGGGGAGCAAACAGGAUUAGAUACCCUAGUAGUC